AGAAAUGGUCUAGUUAAGGAGCAGUCAGGGCCUUGCCUGUGGCCAUACCCAGCAAGAAUGUAUUUCUGUGGUGCUAGUUGUAACUUCUCAUUUUUCAUUUCUGAUUUUAUUGAUUUGGGCCCUCUCUCCUUUUUUCUUGGUGAGUCUGGCUGAAGGUGGACACAAAGCACCAAGCUGAUCUCUCUGUGCUGUGCAGCUUGAUUGGAUCAUUUAGUCCAUUUUCCUUUAAAGUAUUGAUAGGAGGUUUCAAACCACCUACAUUUAGAAAAAUGUCCUGGCUGUGGUUCUUGCCUUGUGACUAGGCAUUGGUCAUAGGAGGUAACCAUGGGUGAGCCAAUUAAGGAACCCCUUAACUGGUCUUGUCCAUUUCCAGUUCAGCUUCUGCCCUCUUGCCAGCAAUUUUUUCUUCAAACGUAGAUUUCUAUUGCCUACCCAACUCCUAAGGUAAGCCCUUAAGAUCUUUUGUAGUCCGGCCUUAAUCUACAAUUUCUGUUUAUUCCCUUUAAAUUAAGUUGUACUUCCAUCAUACAAGAUAAUGGCCAUUCCUAGAGCAUACCCUGCACUUUCAUCACCCUGCCCUUGCUCAUGCUCUUCCUUGCUUCAUGACUCUUCUCAUUUUUCACCUGAUAAACUCCUAUUAUCCUUUAAGACAAACUCUUGUCCAUCAAAAUGUGGGCCCUGGACCAGCAGCAUCAGUAGCAUCUGGGAACUUGUUAGAAGUACAAAUUCUUGACACCCUACGGUAGACCCUACUGAAUCUGACACUUUGGAGGAUGAUGACCAUAUCUGUACUUUAACAAGCUCUUCAGGUGAUUCUUACCAAUUCUAAAAUUUAAGAACCACUGUUCUAAGGCACAAGUCCUUUAUCAGUGUCCACAGCACUUUGCAUAUACCCAUAGUACUUGCUACAUUGUUUCAUAAUCAUAUUUACCCAUCCACUUAUCUUAUUUCCUCUGCCCCAUAUUGAGUCCUCAAAUUCAAAUACAAUAUUUUUGUUUAUUUCCUAGCACCUGCCAGUGUCUGGCAUACAGGAGAUGCUUGAUAAGAAUUUGGAACCUUAAGCACACUCUACUCCCCUCCAGGAUUCGGUCCAGUCAGAGUGCAUAUAAACACACAGCGCUGAUAGUCAGAAGGUGUCCAAGGUUUCUACUCUUAAAGGCUGACAUGAGCCACACUAGCCAAAAGCACACAUACUGACAAGACCCAAGUGUCAGCAAG